rnacentral:lncRNA from 1 species
CGGGGGAAAUCGAAGUUUUGAAAUCACCAUAUAUAGAUAGAUAGUUCUAAACUGUUUACAAUGUUGAUGUAGACCUGUUGUUUAUUAAUACCUUACUGUCAGUCUAAAUAAUAGUGGUAUUAUUGCCAUGAUAAUAUAAACGUUACAAAUGUUGGUACACCAGAUGCGCAUUGCGACACUUAAUUUGUUUUCAGUGAUACAGGAGGCCAAUAUAUAUUGGAAUAUCGGAAAUCUAGUAGACAUGACCUUAGACAAAGCCA